AGCUAGUUGGUGAGGUAAUGGCUCACCAAGGCGACGAUCCGUAACUGGUCUGAGAGGAUGAUCAGUCACACUGGAACUGAGACACGGUCCAGACUCCUACGGGAGGCAGCAGUGGGGAAUAUUGGACAAUGGGCGAAAGCCUGAUCCAGCCUUCCGCGUGUGUGAAGAAGGUCUUCGGAUUGUAAAGCACUUUAAGUUGGGAGGAAGGGCAUUAACCUAAUACGUUAGUGUUUUGACGUUACCGACAGAAUAAGCACCGGCUAACUCUGUGCCAGCAGCCGCGGUAAUACAGAGGGUGCAAGCGUUAAUCGGAAUUACUGGGCGUAAAGCGCGCGUAGGUGGUUCGUUAAGUUGGAUGUGAAAGCCCCGGGCUCAACCUGGGAACUGCAUUCAAAACUGACGAGCUAGAGUAUGGUAGAGGGUGGUGGAAUUUCCUGUGUAGCGGUGAAAUGCGUAGAUAUAGGAAGGAACACCAGUGGCGAAGGCGACCACCUGGACUGAUACUGACACUGAGGUGCGAAAGCGUGGGGAGCGAACAGGAUUAGAUACCCUGGUAGUCCACGCCGUAAACGAUGUCAACUAGCCGUUGGGAGCCUUGAGCUCUUAGUGGCGCAGCUAACGCAUUAAGUUGACCGCCUGGGGAGUACGGCCGCAAGGUUAAAACUCAAAUGAAUUGACGAGGGCCCGCACAAGCGGUGGAGCAUGUGGUUUAAUUCGAAGCAACGCGAAGAACCUUACCAGGCCUUGACAUCCAAUGAACUUUCCAGAGAUGGAUUGGUGCCUUCGGGAACAUUGAGACAGGUGCUGCAUGGCUGUCGUCAGCUCGUGUCGUGAGAUGUUGGGUUAAGUCCCGUAACGAGCGCAACCCUUGUCCUUAGUUACCAGCACGUCAUGGUGGGCACUCUAAGGAGACUGCCGGUGACAAACCGGAGGAAGGUGGGGAUGACGUCAAGUCAUCAUGGCCCUUACGGCCUGGGCUACACACGUGCUACAAUGGUCGGUACAGAGGGUUGCCAAGCCGCGAGGUGGAGCUAAUCCCACAAAACCGAUCGUAGUCCGGAUCGCAGUCUGCAACUCGACUGCGUGAAGUCGGAAUCGCUAGUAAUCGCGAAUCAGAAUGUCGCGGUGAAUACGUUCCCGGGCCUUGUACACACCGCCCGUCACACCAUGGGAGUGGGUUGCACCAGAAGUAGCUAGUCUAACCUUCGGGAGGACGGUUACCACGGUGUGAUUCAUGACUGGGGUG
rnacentral:rRNA from 1 species